UACGUAGGGCGCGAGCGUUAUCCGGAAUUAUUGGGCGUAAAGAGCUCGUAGGCGGUUCGUCGCGUCGGCUGUGAAAUCCCGAGGCUCAACCUCGGGUCUGCAGUCGAUACGGGCGGACUGGAGUACUGCAGGGGAGACUGGAAUUCCUGGUGUAGCGGUGAAAUGCGCAGAUAUCAGGAGGAACACCGGUGGCGAAGGCGGCUCUCUGGGCCUUACCUGACGCUGAGGAGCGAAAGCGUGGGUAGCGAACAGG
rnacentral:rRNA from 1 species